AUGUCUUCCUUCGCCACCUCCCACCCAAACCUUAGUGGUCAGGUCACGGGGAAGCUCUCCCACACAAACUAUGUGCUCUGGCAGACUCAGAUCACGCCUCAACUGAGGGGAGCCGGUGUCUUUGGCUAUGUCGAUGGCACCACACCAGAACCAGCUCGGCUUCUCGUCACCAAGGACAAGGACGGGAAGGAGAGCUCCAAGCUCAAUCCUCUCCACCCCAUCUGGGUCAGAGAGGACCAACAUGUACUUGACUAUCUGCUCAAUAACCUUGCUAAAGAGGUGCUCAUCACGGUGACCACGAUCACCACCACGCAUGGUCUCUGGACAGCGGCAGGUAUGUUUUCAUCGUAGUCUUUGAGCUGUGUCAACAACAUUUGUACUGCCCUCAUCAAUGCGCAGAAGGGCAACCAGUCGGUUGCUGCCUACUUCACCCACAUGUGCGACCUCGCCAACGAACUUGUUGCGGCCGGGAAAGCAAUCCAGGAUGACAAACUUAUCUCCUAUAUUCUUCACGGGCUGGACAUGGACUAACAGCCCCUCGUCUCGGCCCUCAACGCAUGCAUCACGCCCGUCUCCCUCGACGAGCGCUUCUCCAUGCUGAGCAACUUCGACUAGCGCGUC
rnacentral:rRNA from 1 species